rnacentral:rRNA from 1 species
AUUGAACGCUGGCGGCAUGCCUUACACAUGCAAGUCGAACGGUAACAGGGAGCUUGCUCCGCUGACGAGUGGCGAACGGGUGAGUAAAGUAUCGGAACGUACCUUUCAGUGGGGGAUAACGUAGCGAAAGUUACGCUAAUACCGCAUAUUCUGUGAGCAGGAAAGCAGGGGAUCGCAAGACCUUGCGCUGAUUGAGCGGCCGAUAUCAGAUUAGCUAGUUGGUGAGGUAAAGGCUCACCAAGGCGACGAUCUGUAGCGGGUCUGAGAGGAUGAUCCGCCACACUGGGACUGAGACACGGCCCAGACUCCUACGGGAGGCAGCAGUGAGGAAUUUUCCGCAAUGGGCGAAAGCCUGACGGAGCAAUGCCGCGUGAAGGAUGAAGGCCUAUGGGUUGUAAACUUCUUUUCUCAGAGAAGAAUUUUGACGGUAUCUGAGGAAUAAGCAUCGGCUAACUCUGUG